ACUGCUACUAGAGUAACUGCAGUGUGAAAUUGUUCCAGAAACCAAAUAGACAGAAGGGAGACUCUGUGAGAUCCUUUAAUGUUGAAGCUCUAAGGAAGGCUUGAAAUAAAAACACUAACCCUGCUGGAAGCUGCUUCCCUGGAUUCUGUGAGAGAGCCUUGGACAGGAUUACUCCAGGCAGUGAGCUGGCUCAGCAAGAGCAGAACCUGGUCCAGUCAGAGAAGGAUGCUGUAAGCUAGGCCCCUAUACUCCUCUUUUUUUAAAGAGGAAAACAGAUAUCUCACCAAUCCCAUACCAGUACAGAUGUAUUUAUGUUUCAGUGGUGGUCUCCGAGUAUUCGAUUAGGCUAUAAAACUGAAUAUGUGGUACUUGAUCCCAUCAUUAGACUUCAAAUGACUCCGAUAUCACUGCAGCAGCUUGCAAUGUCAUUCGGCUCAGAGAGGGAUUUUGCAUUAGUAGAUUCUGGCACUAAAAUCUAGUGAUUUGCACAACUAGGAAACCCAUGACAGACAACAUGGAGAAACUUGCUAUUGAGACAAUAGCAGCAGAGCAGAGUUGCAAUGGAAGCAGUGGAUAAUGACA